rnacentral:rRNA from 1 species
UACGGAGGAUGCAAGCGUUAUCCGGAUUCAUUGGGUUUAAAGGGUGCGCAGGCGGGGGAAUAAGUCAGUGGUGAAAAGCUGCCGCUCAACGGUAGUCUUGCCAAUGAUACUGUUUUUCUUGAGUAUGGUUAAGGUAGGUGGAAUGUGCAGUGUAGUGGUGAAAUGCUUAGAGAUCACACAGAAUAUCGAUUGCGAAGGCAGCUCACAAAGCCAAGAUUGACGCUGAGGCACGAAAGUGUGGGGAUCAAACA